rnacentral:rRNA from 1 species
UGAUUUACGCUGGCGGCAGUGCCUAACUACAUGCAAGUCGUAGACGAGCGAUGAAUCACAGGAGCUUGCUCCUUUGACGUUAGCGGCGGACGGGUGAGUAACACGUGGAUAACCUACCUAUAAGACUGGGAUAACUUCGGGAAACCGGAGCUAAUACCGGAUAACAUAUUGAACCGCAUGGUUCAAUAGUGAAAGGCGGCUUUGCUGUCACUUAUAGAUGGAUCCGCGCCGUAUUAGCUAGUUGGUAAGGUAACGGCUUACCAAGGCAACGAUACGUAGCCGACCUGAGAGGGUGAUCGGCCACACUGGAACUGAGACACGGUCCAGACUCCUACGGGAGGCAGCAGUAGGGAAUCUUCCGCAAUGGGCGAAAGCCUGACGGAGCAACGCCGCGUGAGUGAUGAAGGUCUUCGGAUCGUAAAACUCUGUUAUCAGGGAAGAACAAAUGUGUAAGUAACUGUGCACAUCUUGACGGUACCUGAUCAGAAAGCCACGGCUAACUACGUGCCAGCAGCCGCGGUAAUACGUAGGUGGCAAGCGUUAUCCGGAAUUAUUGGGCGUAAAGCGCGCGUAGGCGGUUUUUUAAGUCUGAUGUGAAAGCCCACGGCUCAACCGUGGAGGGUCAUUGGAAACCUGGAAAACUUGAGUGCAGAAGAGGAAAGUGGAAAUUCCAUGUGUAGCGGUGAAAUGCGCAGAGAUAUGGAGGAACACCCAGUGGGCCAAGGCGACUUUCUGGUUCUGUAACUUGACGCUGAUGUGCGAAAGCGUUGGGGGAUCAAACAGGAUUAGAUACCCUGGUAGUCCACCGCCGUAAACGAUGAGUGCUUAGUGUUAGGGGGUUUCCGCCCCUUAGUGCU